rnacentral:lncRNA from 1 species
CCAACAUAGUUCUGUUUCUUGCUCCUGGCCAACAUAGUUCUGGUUCUUGCCCCUAGCUAACAGAGUUGUUUCUAGCUACUGGCCAACAUAGCUCUUUUUCUAGCUCCUAGCCAACCUAGUUCUGUUUGUAGCUCCUGGCCAACUAGCCAACCUAGUUCUGUUUCUAGCUCCUGACCAACUAGCCAACCUAGUUCUGUUUCUAGCCCCUAGCCAACCUAAUUCUGUUUCUAGCCCCUAGCCAACCUAAUUCUGUUUCUAGCCCCUAGCCAACUUAGUUCUGUUUCUAGCUACUGGCCAACCUAGUUCUGUUUCUUGCUCCUGGCCAACCUAGUUCUGUUUCUAGCUCCUGGCCAACCUAGUUCUGUUUCUAGCUCCUGGCCAACUAGCCAACCUAGUUCUUUUUCUAGCUCCUGGCCAACAUAGUUCUGGUUCUUGCCCCUGGCUAACAGAGUUGUUUCUAGCUACUGGCCAACAUAGCUCUUUUUCUAGCUCCUAGCCAACCUAGUUCUGUUUGUAGCUCCUGGCCAACUAGCCAACCUUGUUCUGUUUCUAGCUCCUGACCAACUAGCCAACCUAGUUCUGUUUCUAGCCCCUAGCCAACCUAAUUCUGUUUCUAGCCCCUAGCCAACCUAGUUCUGUUUCUAGCUACUGGCCAACCUAGUUCUGUUUCUAGCUCCUGGCCAACUUAGUUCUGUUUCUAGCCCCUAGCCAACCUAGUUCUGUUUCUAGCUACUGGCCAACCUAGUUCUGUUUCUAGCUACUGGCCAACUUAGUUCUGUUUCUAGCUCCUAGCUAUCCUAGUUCUGUUUCUAGCUCCUGGCCAACUAGACAACAUAGUUCUGUUUCUAGCUCCUGGCCAACAUAGUUCUGUUUCUAGCUCCUGGCCAACAUAAUUUUGUUUCUUGCUCCUGGCCAACAUAGUUCUGUUUCUAGCUCCAGGCCAACAUAGUUCUGUUUCUAGCUCCUAGCCAACAUAGGUCUAUUUCUAGCUCCUAGCCAAUGUAGUUCUGUUUCUAACUCCUAGUCAACGUAGUUCUGUUUCUAGCUCCUAGCCAACGUAGUUCUGUUUCUAGCUCCUAGCCAACAUAGUUCUGUUUCUAGCUCCUGGCCAACCUAGUUCUGUUUCUAGCUACUGGCCAACCUAGUUCUGUUUCUUGCUACUGGCCAACUUAGUUCUGUUUCUAGCUCCUAGCUAUCCUAGUUCUGUUUCUAGCUCCUGGCCAACUAGACAACAUAGUUCUGUUUCUAGCUCCUGGCGAACAUAGUUCUGUUUCUAGCUCCUGGCCAACAUAAUUUUGUUUCUUGCUCCUGGCCAACAUAGUUCUGUUUCUAGCUCCAGGCCAACAUAGUUCUGUUUCUAGCUCCUAGCCAACA